GGAUAUAGCUCAGUUGGUAGAGUGCUUGUCUUGCAUGCACAAGGCCCUGGGUUCAAUUCUCAGCACCA
rnacentral:tRNA from 1 species